AAAAGUAUCCUUUAAGUCACUGUAAGUAACCUUUAAGUCCAUGGAGGCUCCACCUUGCAAUUUACAGGACUUAAAGGAUCUGCUGCUAACAUCUUGGUGCCAGAUCCCAUAGCACACCUUCAGGGAUCUAGUGGAGUCCAUGCCUCGACAGGUCAGGGAUGGUUUGGCAGCAAAAGGAGGACCGACACAAUAUUAGGCAAUGUUAUGCCCGAUCAGUGUAGUCUCAUCACUUGGAGGCUUUUUCCUGCUCAGGUGCUGAAGAUACAUGGACCUGUUGUGGAUAGAACCACUUAGAGAUCAUGGAGAACACCUUGGACUGCUAUGAAUACGAUCAGACAUGAAGAUCUGGGUAAAGUACAGCAAGGACAAAACCUAACAGCUGGCCAGAUGCAGAGGUGUCUGUCUGAUAGAGGAGGAGGAGGAAGAGAGCUGCUGCCAUGUGCUCCUUCACUUCUCCACUGCUGAAGAGACACAAAGCUCUCUGUGCUCGACUCUCCUCCCUGAAUAGCGCAGCAGAAGGAGGCUGAGCAGCCAGUUUUUAGUCCAAACCCUCAUCAGUCCUCGAGUCUCAGCUUCAUCUUCCAUGAUGUUCCUUUAACAGUUUCUAAUCUGAAGGACAAGGACAGCAUUAACAUGAAGUCAAGAAGGAACAGAAACAAACUGACCACUGACCCUCACAUCUGAAACUAUGAAUAAACACACACUCACACACACACACACACACCCCACAAUACUCACACACUCACACACACACACACACAACA